rnacentral:rRNA from 1 species
GCCUAACACAUGCAAGUCGAACGGUAACAGGAAGCAGCUUGCUGUUUCGCUGACGAGUGGCGGACGGGUGAGUAAUGUCUGGGAAACUGCCUGAUGGAGGGGGAUAACUACUGGAAACGGUAGCUAAUACCGCAUAACGUCGCAAGACCAAAGAGGGGGACCUUCGGGCCUCUUGCCAUCGGAUGUGCCCAGAUGGGAUUAGCUAGUAGGUGGGGUAACGGCUCACCUAGGCGACGAUCCCUAGCUGGUCUGAGAGGAUGACCAGCCACACUGGAACUGAGACACGGUCCAGACUCCUACGGGAGGCAGCAGUGGGGAAUAUUGCACAAUGGGCGCAAGCCUGAUGCAGCCAUGCCGCGUGUAUGAAGAAGGCCUUCGGGUUGUAAAGUACUUUCAGCGGGGAGGAA